rnacentral:tRNA from 1 species
UGUUCUGUGGCUUAGUUGGGUGAAGCGCUGGACUUGCGGUACCAAAUCGUGAGUUCGAAUGCCACCAAAACAA